UGAGGAAUAUUGGACAAUGGGGGCAACCCUGAUCCAGCCAUGCCGCGUGAGUGAAGAAGGCCUUCGGGUUGUAAAGCUCUUUCAGAUGUGAAGAUAAUGACGGUAGCAUCAGAAGAAGCCCCGGCUAAAUUCGUGCCAGCAGCCGCGGUAAUACGAAUGGGGCAAGCGUUGUUCGGAAUCACUGGGCUUAAAGCGUGCGCAGGCGGUUAUGUAAGUCAGAAGUGAAAUCCCGGGGCUUAACCCCGGAAUUGCUUUUGAAACUGCAUGACUAGAAUAUGGGAGAGGUUAGCAGAAUUCCGAGUGUAGAGGUGAAAUUCGCAGAUAUUCGGAGGAAUACCAGUGGCGAAGGCGGCUAACUGGACCAUUAUUGACGCUCAGGCACGAAAGCGUGGGGAGCAAACAG
rnacentral:rRNA from 1 species